UACGGGAGGCAGCAGUGGGGAAUAUUGCACAAUGGGCGAAAGCCUGAUGCAGCUAUGCCGCGUGUAUGAAGAAGGCCUUAGGGUUGUAAAGUACUUUCAUCGGGGAGGAAAAACAAAACUAAUAAUUUUAUUUCUUGACGUUACCCGAAAAAGAAGCACCGGCUAACUCCGUGCCAGCAGCCGCGGUAAUACGGAGGGUGCUAGCGUUAAUCAGAAUUACUGGGCGUAAAGAGCACGUAGGUGGUUUUUUUUAAGUCAGAUGUGAAAUCCCUGGGCUUAACCUGGAACUGCAUUUUGAAACUGAAAUACUAGAGUAUCGUAGAGGGAGGUAGAAUUCUAGGUGUAGCGGUGAAAUGCGUAGAUAUCUGGAGGAAUACCUGUGGCGAAAGCGGCCUCCUAAACGAAUACUGACACUGAGGGUGCGAAAGCGUGGGGAGCAAACAGGGAUUAGAUACC
rnacentral:rRNA from 1 species